GCUUCCCAACCACCCUGAACACUCCUGAUCUCAUCUGAUCUUGGAAGCUAAGCAGAGUCGGGCCCGGUUAGUACUUGGAUGGGAGACCACCUAGGGAGACUGGGUGCUGUAGGCA
ensembl:rRNA 5S_rRNA 5S ribosomal RNA